UCCGUAGGUGAACCUGCGGAAGGAUCAUUACCUUUCAAUGCAGCAGAAUUGGGAUGGUUGAGUAUCUCGCCUCUCAGUUCUGCCUGUAUUCUACCCUUGUUUGCCAUAUACCAUUAUUUCCUCGGCAGGCUUGCCUGCCGAGUGAAACCAUUUAUAACCUUUUUAAUUUUCAAUCAGCGUCUGAAAAAAUUAAUAAUUACAACUUUCAACAACGGAUCUCUUGGUUCUGGCAUCGAUGAAGAACGCAGCGAAAUGCGAUAAGUAGUGUGAAUUGCAGAAUUCAGUGAAUCAUCGAAUCUUUGAACGCACAUUGCGCCCCUUGGUAUUCCAUGGGGCAUGCCUGUUCGAGCGUCAUUUGUACCUUCAAGCUUUGCUUGGUGUUGGGUGUUUGUCCCGAGGGACUCGCCUUAAAGUAAUUGGCAGCCAGUGUUUGGUUUUGAAGCGCAGCACAAGUCGCGAUUCAAGGCUACACGCCCGCUUCCACAAGCCUUUUUUCACUUUUGACCUCGGAUCAGGUAGGGAUACCCGCUGAACUUAAUCCGUAGGUGAACCUGCGG
rnacentral:rRNA from 1 species